AGUUGGGAUAGCUCAGUUGGUAGAGCAGAGGACUGAAAAUC
rnacentral:tRNA from 1 species